rnacentral:rRNA from 1 species
GUAGGUGGCAAGCGUUGUCCGGAAUUAUUGGGCGUAAAGCGCGCGCAGGCGGUCCUUUAAGUCUGAUGUGAAAGCCCACGGCUCAACCGUGGAGGGUCAUUGGAAACUGGGGGACUUGAGUACAGAAGUGGAAAGCGGAAUUCCAAGUGUAGCGGUGAAAUGCGUAGAGAUUUGGAGGAACACCAGUGGCGAAGGCGGCUUUCUGGUCUGUAACUGACGCUGAGGCGCGAAAGCGUGGGGAGCAAACAGGGAUUAGAUACCCUGGUAGUCCACGCCGUAAACGAUGAGUGCUAAGUGUUAGGGGGUUUCCCGCCCCUUAGUGCUGCAGCUAACGCAUUAAGCACUCCGCCUGGGGAGUACGCCGCAAGGCUG